CGCGUAACGUCAACAAAAACAAUCUUUUUUCGAUAAUUAUCGGUUUAGUUCUCUUUUAUAUUUCGUCGAGUAAACGUCGAAGAUCACUCACUCUUUCCGUAUAACUAAAAUUUUAAUAAUUUAUAAUUUUGAUAAUUUUCUAAUAAUUUAAACAAUUUUUUAUGUACACGGAGUACAGUAAAUUAAUAUUUAAACAAUAGUACAUUAAAUAUUACAGUACGAUUAAAUAUUACAUAGCAUAGGACACGCGUUAAAUAUAAAAUAAUUUUAUCGUUGUUAUCCUUACGUAAAGUCAACAAAAACGAACAUUUGAUUGACUUUAACUGUUACCGAAACAGUUUUCUUUUGCACUUCGACGAGUGAACAUCGAAGCUCUCUCUUUCCGAAACAAAAGUAGAUACAAUCGCGAAGUAGAGUCAGUGUCGGUUUUGAUAUGGAACUCAUCUAUAGUUUCUUAUUUUUUUCGAGUGCAACCCUUGGAGGAGCGAUCAUCCUUUUCCAGUAGGAAAAAACCGAACUCGAUUUUUGUGGAUUUCACCAAGUAUUGAAUAUCAACGGUUGCAUGUCGAAAAUAUAUACCAACGCGAUCAACAGUUACCGGAUCUACUGCUGUCCAACCAUCGACGAUUACUGCCACUUGAUGUCUUCUUUCAAUAUGCGUAGCAUAAUGACGUAAUUUUCCUCUUCCUUCAAAAGUAAAUGGCGAUGGUGGUGGUGUAUUCGGAGUACCGAUUAACGAUGGCGGAGUUCUACGCCAAUGUGCAGGAAUCGUUCCAAACAAAGUAUCUGCUUCUAAUCUAUCAGAAACCGAAGGAUCCGGAGAUCCAGGCGAUACCGGCGAGACUGGAGACGUAGGUUCGGAAUCUCUCAAACUUCCAGACACACUAUCCAUACCAACGUGUUUAUGACUAGCAACCAACAAUUCGAAGUCAGGAC